rnacentral:rRNA from 1 species
UACAGAGGCCCAUAGCGUUGUUCGGAUUUACUGGGCGUAAAGGGCGCGUAGGCGGCAGGGCGUGUCAAGUGUGAAAUCUCCGGGCCCAACCCGGAAAGUGCGCUUGAAACUACCCUGCUCGAGGCCGGGGGAGGGAAUCGGAACACAGGGUGUAGCGGUGAAAUGCGUUGAUAUCCUGUAGAACACCGGAGGUGAAGGCGGAUUCCUGGAACGGUUCUGACGCUGAGGCGCGAAAGUCGGGAGAGCAAAU